rnacentral:tRNA from 1 species
GCCUGGGUAGCUCAGUCGGUAGAGCGUUUCCUUGGUAAGGAAAAGGUCUCGGGUUCGAUUCCCGACUCAGGCUCCA